rnacentral:rRNA from 1 species
AAAUUGAAGAGUUUGAUCAUGGCUCAGAUUGAACGCUGGCGGCAGGCCUAACACAUGCAAGUCGAGCGGUAGCACAGAGAGCUUGCUCUCGGGUGACGAGCGGCGGACGGGUGAGUAAUGUCUGGGAAACUGCCUGAUGGAGGGGGAUAACUACUGGAAACGGUAGCUAAUACCGCAUAACGUCGCAAGACCAAAGUGGGGGACCUUCGGGCCUCAUGCCAUCAGAUGUGCCCAGAUGGGAUUAGCUAGUAGGUGGGGUAACGGCUCACCUAGGCGACGAUCCCUAGCUGGUCUGAGAGGAUGACCAGCCACACUGGAACUGAGACACGGUCCAGACUCCUACGGGAGGCAGCAGUGGGGAAUAUUGCACAAUGGGCGCAAGCCUGAUGCAGCCAUGCCGCGUGUGUGAAGAAGGCCUUCGGGUUGUAAAGCACUUUCAGCGGGGAGGAAGGCGAUAAGGUUAAUAACCUUGUCGAUUGACGUUACCCGCAGAAGAAGCACCGGCUAACUCCGUGCCAGCAGCCGCGGUAAUACGGAGGGUGCAAGCGUUAAUCGGAAUUACUGGGCGUAAAGCGCACGCAGGCGGUCUGUCAAGUCGGAUGUGAAAUCCCCGGCUCAACCUGGGAACUGCAUUCGAAACUGGCAGGCUAGAGUCUUGUAGAGGGGGGUAGAAUUCCAGGUGUAGCGGUGAAAUGCGUAGAGAUCUGGAGGAAUACCGGUGGCGAAGGCGGCCCCCUGGACAAAGACUGACGCUCAGGUGCGAAAGCGUGGGGAGCAAACAGGAUUAGAUACCCUGGUAGUCCACGCCGUAAACGAUGUCGAUUUGGAGGUUGUGCCCUUGAGGCGUGGCUUCCGGAGCUAACGCGUUAAAUCGACCGCCUGGGGAGUACGGCCGCAAGGUUAAAACUCAAAUGAAUUGACGGGGGCCCGCACAAGCGGUGGAGCAUGUGGUUUAAUUCGAUGCAACGCGAAGAACCUUACCUGGUCUUGACAUCCACAGAACUUUCCAGAGAUGGAUUGGUGCCUUCGGGAACUGUGAGACAGGUGCUGCAUGGCUGUCGUCAGCUCGUGUUGUGAAAUGUUGGGUUAAGUCCCGCAACGAGCGCAACCCUUAUCCUUUGUUGCCAGCGGUCCGGCCGGGAACUCAAAGGAGACUGCCAGUGAUAAACUGGAGGAAGGUGGGGAUGACGUCAAGUCAUCAUGGCCCUUACGACCAGGGCUACACACGUGCUACAAUGGCAUAUACAAAGAGAAGCGACCUCGCGAGAGCAAGCGGACCUCAUAAAGUAUGUCGUAGUCCGGAUUGGAGUCUGCAACUCGACUCCAUGAAGUCGGAAUCGCUAGUAAUCGUAGAUCAGAAUGCUACGGUGAAUACGUUCCCGGGCCUUGUACACACCGCCCGUCACACCAUGGGAGUGGGUUGCAAAAGAAGUAGGUAGCUUAACCUUCGGGAGGGCGCUUACCACUUUGUGAUUCAUGACUGGGGUGAAGUCGUAACAAGGUAACCGUAGGGGAACCUGCGGUUGGAUCACCUCCUUA